rnacentral:rRNA from 1 species
GACGAACCGUGCGAACGUUGUUCGGAAUCACUGGGCGUAAAGGGUGCGUAGGCGGGUCUUUAAGUCAGGGGUGAAAUCCUGGAGCUCAACUCCAGAACUGCCUUUGAUACUGAGGAUCUUGAGUUCGGGAGAGGUGAGUGGAACUGCGGAGUGUAGAGGUGAAAUUCGUAGAUAUUCGCAAGAACACCAGUGGCGAAGGCGGCUCACUGGCCCGGUACUAGACGCUGAGGCACGAAAGCGUGGGGAGCAA